UACGUAGGUGGCAAGCGUUGUCCGGAUUUACUGGGUGUAAAGGGCGUGCAGCCGGGCUGACAAGUCAGAUGUGAAAUCCCGCGGCUCAACCGCGGAACUGCAUUUGAAACUGUUAGUCUUGAGUACCGGAGAGGUCAUCGGAUUUCCUUGUGUAGCGGUGAAAUGCGUAGAUAUAAGGAAGAACACCAGUGGCGAAGGCGGAUGACUGGACGGCAACUGACGGUGAGGCGCGAAAGCGUGGGGAGCAAACAGG
rnacentral:rRNA from 1 species